rnacentral:tRNA from 1 species
GCGCAGCUGGCUCAGUUGGUAGAGUAUGUGACUCUUGAUCCCAGGAUCGUGAGUCCAAACCCCACAUUGGGCU